GUUCUGUACUUUUUUGCCUUGAAGGUUUUAUACAUUCCUAAUUAGAGGACUCUCUGUAUGUAUAUAUUUUAAUUAUUAUUUGCACUGUUUGGGCGCGGUUUACCACUUUUGUCUCUUCUGUUUUACUACUGUGAGCAGGUAUUGGGAAUUCCUGCUUGGUUCACUGCUGCCCACCUUUAGUUUAUUUAGUGAGCGCCUAACUCCUCUUUGUUGUGGAACGAAAAGUACCUUCCUGAAUCUUCCUGAAUCUAAAAAUUCAGAAGCCGGAUGCAGCCUGGGGUGGAGUGGACAUUGCCACUGAAAGCAGCUUUGUGGUUGAACCGUUUAAGAGCAGUUUAAACAAGUAUGUCCCGUCUAGGCCCUUACGCUCUGCUGAAGACUUAUGUCUAUCUUCUGUCCAUACUCCCACCUCUGAUGCUCGCCUUCAAGACAUCUCGAGGGCUGCACCGUUCCUGUGGAACUCACUUCCCUCCUCUGUUAGAUGCUCACCCAGUCUCCACUCCUUCAAAAAAUCAUUAAAAACCCACUUCUUCAUAAAAGCGUAUCAGUUAAACUGUUAAUAGCCUCCCUCUCUUGCAACUGUCGUUAGUCUAAUACUAUUCUUACCUUUUGUGUCACUUUACCCCACUCCCUCUAACAUGUAAGCUCAUUGAGCAGGGCCCUCAACCCCUCUGUUCCUUUGUGUCCAACUUGUCUGGUUACAACUACAUGUUUGUUCGUCCACCCACUGUAAAGUGUUGCGGAAUUUGUUGGUGCUAUAUAAAUAAGACGAUAAAAAUAUGCCUGGAGUGUCCCUUUAAUUCUAGUUAAAUAUAAAAUAAAUGUACAUUUUAAAAUGUAGAAUAUAGUGAACGUUUGCAGGCAUUCAUUUGGCUUUUUUCUUUACACCUGAUUAGUCAAGCUUCAUUUUUACUGUUUAGCAUUGAAACCAGGUGUGAUUUAACAUUUACUACCCCCUAUUAAUCUAUAAGGGAUAUGUUAAAACUUUUGGCAGCCACUAAUUAUCAGUCACUUUAAAGUUUAUA